GUGAGCCGUGUAAUAGGCGACCAUUUCGCGCGGUUCGGGGGGCACUUGAGUCAGCCGCCGGCGCCGACAGCGUCUUGACCCCCAU
rfam:Nicotiana attenuata strain TT scaffold02681, whole genome shotgun sequence.